rnacentral:rRNA from 1 species
GACGAACGCUGGCGGCGUGCUUAACACAUGCAAGUCGAACGGAAAGGCCCUGCUUUUGUUGCGUGCUCGAGUGGCGAACGGGUGAGUAACACGUGAGUAACCUUCCCUUGCCUUUUGGAUUACUUCAGCAAACUGUGAUUACUACCAGAUAGGCUCUCCUGCUGCAUGGUGGGGGUUGGCUUGUUUCGGCGGUUGGGGAUGGACUCGCGGCUUAUCUGCUUGUUGGUGGGGUGUUGGCUUACCAAGUCUUUGACGGGUAGCCGGCCUGAGCGGGUGACCGGCCACAUUGGGACUGAGAAACGGCCUAGACUCCUACGGGAGGAAGCAGUGGGGAAUAUGGCAAAAUGGGCGGAAGCCGGAUGCAGAAACGCCGCGUGCGGGAUGACGGCCUUCGGUUGGUAAACCGCUUUCGCAGGUGACGAAGCGGGAGUGACGGUAAUGGGUAAAGAAGCACCGGCUAACUACGUG